CACGUAGGGUGCGAGCGUUGUCCGGAAUUAUUGGGCGUAAAGAGCUCGUAGGCGGUGUGUCGCGUCGGCCGUGAAAACCUGCAGCUUAACUGUGGGCUUGCGGUCGAUACGGGCAUCACUGGAGUUCGGCAGGGGAGACUGGAAUUCCUGGUGUAGCGGUGAAAUGCGCAGAUAUCAGGAGGAACACCGGUGGCGAAGGCGGGUCUCUGGGCAACAACUGGCGCUGAGGAGCGAAAGCGUGGGGAGCGAACAGG
rnacentral:rRNA from 1 species